GAUGAAGAACGUAGCGAAAUGCGAUAAGUAGUGUGAAUUGCAGAAUUCAGUGAAUCAUCGAAUCUUUGAACGCACAUUGCGCCCCUUGGUAUCCCGAGGGGCAUGCCUGUUCGAGCGUCAUUUCACCACUCAAGCCUGGCUUGGUGUUGGGCGACGUCCCCUUUGGGGACGCGCCUCGAAACGCUCGGCGGCGUGGCACCGGCUUUAAGCGUAGCAGAAUCUUUCGCUUUGGAAGUCGGGGCCCCGUCUGCCGGAAGACCUACUCGCAAGGUUGACCUCGGAUCAGGCAGGGAUACCCGCUGAACUUAAGAAUAUCAAUAAGCGGAGGA
rnacentral:misc_RNA from 1 species